rnacentral:rRNA from 1 species
UAGGGGGCGAGCGUUAUCCGGAUUCAUUGGGCGUAAAGCGCGCGCAGGCGGGCUUGCAAGCGGGGCCUUUAAUCUUGGGGCUUAACCCCAAGUCGGGUUCCGAACUGCAAGCCUCGAGUGUGGUAGGGGAAGGCGGAAUUCCCGGUGUAGCGGUGGAAUGCGCAGAUAUCGGGAAGAACACCGAUGGCGAAGGCAGCCUUCUGGGCCAUUACUGACGCUGAGGCGCGAAAGCUGGGGGAGCGAA